CUAUCAUGUCCUGCAGAGGGCACUGCUUUGUCUCUUUUAGCAGACUUCUCUCAAGACAACGCUUGACUUUUUCCUGCCUCUGAGUUCCCCUCGCAUUAUGCAACAGAGUGAAAUACAACGGGUGUUCGAUGGUGAGGGGAUUGCAGGUGUUGAGGAACUGGAGCCCCAGUACAAGGUGGAAGUAUUCAUUAGCAGCUCUGCAGUUCUCCUGAAGAAAAGACCGGAUCCUACCGUAUCUAAUGGCUCUGAAUCAGUGUGGCUGAAAUCCCUGCUCGGAGACAAAAAUGGAAAUGCUCUCCCUGCAAUCACAGCCUUUCAUCCAGCCCACUAGGAAAUAUCGUGUCUAUUAGCCAUUAGCUGAUCUGAUAUCCUGGUUUAGACAGCUCAGGCGUCUCUCUGUGUGGCUGUUUGGAGGGAGACUGAAGAGAUUGCAGGCUUCGACCCAUGUGUCUGUUGAUUGACUCAAAUCAACCAAACUGUGGCCCAGAUCAGGCUGUCUGGAAACAGAUGUCCAUUGGUGAUUGAUUUGAUUGGCUGUCUAAUGCAUUGCCAAAUGUGUGUGAAUGCUCUGGAAGAGUCAAGGAGUCAUGUUACGAUGUGUUUGUUAGAAACAGGUUGUAAAAAUACGUUGGCAGAUUUAACAAUGUGAUGAUGGAUGUCAACAUACUUCUUGGAGUGAAGAUACAUUUUAGGAAAUGAUUCACCAAUGAAAUUAUAUAUGAUUAUGUAUAUUUCUAUUAAAAAAACGUCUUUAUGAAAAAUA
ensembl:lncRNA